AGGGACUUAGGUUAUAAACCCAGACCAAGGGCCUUCAAAGCCCUAAGCGGGAGUUAAAAUCUUUCAGACCCUG
rnacentral:tRNA from 1 species